rnacentral:lncRNA from 1 species
GUCACUGAGCCACUGUGCCGAAUUCGUUCUCUUGCAAAGUAAAGUAAUUUCUGCACUCUUACAGGAAGCCCGGAAUACUUUUGGAUUUGUACUUGCAGGAUACUAAAGUAUUCUAACAGUGGUGCUUUGCUACUUUUGUUCGAGUAAAGACUUAAAAACGUCCUUCCCCACCACACACUUUAUUCUAGGUGACGUCUCUCCACAGUGGGAUUAGUUGUCCUCUCUUUGAGCACUCCAUGAAUUCCAUUCCGCCUUUUACUUUUCGGCAGCGCACUCUCCGCACAGGACUUCCCAUUGACUUUGCAAGACUGCAUUCAACCCACCACAAGUCCCAAGUUUCGGUGUGCACGGGAGAAGAAGCCCCGUAGUGUCGAUCUUUUUUAUUUGCGUAAUCUUUUAGAAAAGAAAAAGAGAAAAAAACACGAGAAGGGAUCCGUUUUACCUGUUGAUGAAGUCCCACCGGGCGUGGGACGCAGAGGAGCAGUCGGGUUUCUACCCAGAGAAGAAAAGUCUGAACUAGGUGCACCGUUCCAGUGGCCAGGAGGCGUGAAGGACCCUCGUAUUCCCCCCUUUCCCCCAGCAUUUACAGCCUGUGCUGGGUCGGUGGAAAAUGGGCACUCUGACCACUUCGAUCUGUGGACUUAUCCUCUCUUUCAUACUCACAUCGCAGCUUUUUACUGUGACACAGGCCUCCAAGGUAUGGGGAGAGGUUCCUCUGCCAGAAGAUUUGGAGGCAGAAAAAACUAUCCUGGGAUCUCAGAGUUUACUGGACGAUGAUGAGGACUUUGCAGCUGAUGAAGCGUCAGGAGACCAGCCCAGUGGAGAGGACUAUGGAAGCACACCGUGGCCUGAUAGCACAAGUAAGUGAACAGACAAUCUUGUGGAUCAAACAAUUCACUCUGACAGAUUUUGUUUACAUGCGGUGGAUCACUCAGCCCUCUAAAGCUCCCCCAUCUGCGACUCUGACGUGCACCAGUAACAGCGUGUGUGCGUUUGUGCAUGCACACUUGUGCAUAAUGUCUGUCGGUGCCUGAGUGAUGAUACCUCCACAUCCUUCUACACCCUCUCCUCCCUCCUCGCCAGCUUGCCAGACUCUGGUCAUAACACAGGGCCUUGGCUUUAUCUUUGAGACAUAAACAUCUCCUCUUUCAUCCUUUUAACCACUGGCGGAGGUGACAGCACAAUAAGAUACAUAAACGCCCAAUGAACAAUAAAAACUGCGGGAAAGCACCUCUACCCCAUUAUUUUUAUUCAGACUUGUAUUCUGUUCAAGGAACACACUAUAUCACUGCACAUAGUUUCAGAAAAAAAUAAUGCAGAAACCAUAAUAAACUUUGCAUGAUGGUCUGACUCUUUAAUCAUACCUAAAGUUUACGUGUGCCGCUGUU